GGAGAUGUUGAUAUCUCUGGACCCAAACUAGAGGGUGACAUUAAAACUCCAAAAGUGGAUGUGAAGGGCCCAGAAUUGGACAUUUCUGCUUCUAAGGUCAAUAUUGAUGCGAAAGGAAAGAAAUCUCGUUUUAAGCUUCCUAAAUUUAAUUUUUCUGGGUCCAAAGUUCAGACACCUGAAGUGGAUGUCAAACUUAAAAAGCCAGAUGUUGAUGUAACAGCUCCAAAAGUUGAUAUUAACGCUCCAGAAGUUGAAGUCCAAGGCAAAGUGAAAGGACCCAAGUUUAAAAUGCCUUUCCUGAGCAUUUCAUCUCCCAAAGUCUCCAUGCCUGAUGUGGAGCUAAACUUGAAAGGUCCUAAAGUCAAAGGAGAAUUAGAUGCAACAGUCCCAAAUUUAGAAGGAGAUUUCAAAAGUCCCAAAGUGGACAUUAAAGCACCAGAUGUUCAACUUAAUGCCCCAGAUGUGGAUGUUCAUGGUCAAGAAUGGAAU
rnacentral:lncRNA from 1 species